rnacentral:rRNA from 1 species
AAUAAGGAGUCGGACCUGCCCAGUGAUUAAAUUUAACGGCCGCGGUACCCUGACCGUGCAAAGGUAGCAUAAUCAUUUGCCCUAUAAUUGAGGGCUAGUAUGAAUGGUUUGACGAGAACUAUACUGUCUCUAUAUAAUUUUAUAAAAAUUUAUUUUUAGGUGAAGAAGCCUAAAUUUUAUUAAAAGACAAGAAGACCCUAUCGAGCUUUAAAAAACUUUAUAGAUUAUUUUAAUAUAAAUAUAAAGAUCUCUAUAAAAAAUUUUGGUUGGGGCGACUGAGGAACAAAAAAAGCUUCUUUUUAAAUUUUAAAACCUUCAUGUAAUGAUCCAAUUAUUUUGAUUAAAGAAAUUAGUUACCGUAGGGAUAACAGCAUAAUCUUUUUUAAGAGUUCUUAUCGAAAAAAAGGUUUGUGACCUCGAUGUUGGACCAGAAUUUCCUAUAGAUGCAGCAGUCUAUAAGGGUUGGUCUGUUCGACCAUUAAAAUUCU